rnacentral:tRNA from 197 species
GGGUGAUUAGCUCAGUUGGUAGAGCGCUUCGUUUACACCGAAGAUGUCGGGAGUUCGAGUCUCUCAUCACCCACCA